rnacentral:rRNA from 1 species
AUGGAAGGGCCGCUACCAAAAGACAUGAACAGAAGGUCCUAUCGCUGGAUGUUUACUGUCCAAAUCACAAGGAUCUGGGAGUACAGGAGCAAAGACUUUGCUGAACUUUAUGAGCUGGACUUCGUCGUCCUUCCACUACUUCCUGCUCCUCAUAAUACAGUCCUAUCGCUGCUGUGGUCGCGCACCAACGGACAAGUGAUUCCAAAGGAGAGGAGCAUUGCAUGGUUUAUAUAUUGGAGAAAAAGGCAUACAUGCAGCACUACGGAUUCUAAAGGAGUGUUCGGUUCCUCUCGGCUCCUUUAA